UGGGGAAUCUUGCACAAUGGGGGAAACCCUGAUGCAGCGACGCCGCGUGAGCGAUGAAGCCCUUCGGGGUGUAAAGCUCUUUCGACAGGAACGAUUAUGACGGUACCUGGAGAAGAAGCUGCGGCUAACUACGUGCCAGCAGCCGCGGUAAUACGUAGGCAGCAAGCGUUGUUCGGAGUUACUGGGCGUAAAGAGUGUGUAGGCGGUUUGCCAAGUCUGGUGUGAAAUCUCCUGGCUCAACUGGGAGGGUGCGCCGGAAACUGGCAAGCUAGAGUGUGGGAGAGGGAAGCGGAAUUCCUGGUGUAGCGGUGAAAUGCGUAGAUAUCAGGAGGAACACCUGUGGUGUAGACGGCUUCCUGGACCACUACUGACGCUGAGACACGAAAGCGUGGGGAGCAAACAGGAUUAGAUACCCCGGUAGUCC
rnacentral:rRNA from 1 species